rnacentral:rRNA from 1 species
UACAGAGGUCUCAAGCGUUUGUUCGGAUUCAUUGGGCGUAAAGGGUGUGUAGGUGGCGCCGUAAGUCGGGUGUGAAAUUUCGGAGCUUAACUCCGAAACUGCAUUCGAUACUGCGGUGCUUGAGGACUGGAGAGGAGACUGGAAUUUACGGUGUAGCAGUGAAAUGCGUAGAUAUCGUAAGGAAGACCAGUGGCGAAGGCGAGUCUCUGGACAGUUACUGACGCUGAGGCACGAAGGCCAGGGGAGCAAAACGGG